rnacentral:rRNA from 1 species
GACAGAGGGUGCAAACGUUGUUCGGAAUUACUGGGCGUAAAGCGCGUGUAGGCUGCUCGGAAAGUCGGAUGUGAAAGCCCUGGGCUCAACCCAGGAAGUGCAUUCGAAACUCCCGAGCUGGAGUCCCGGAGAGGAAGGCGGAAUUCUCGGUGUAGAGGUGAAAUUCGUAGAUAUCGAGAGGAACAUCGGUGGCGAAGGCGGCCUUCUGGACGGUGACUGACGCUGAGACGCGAAAGCGUGGGGAGCGAACAGG